rnacentral:lncRNA from 1 species
GGUCACAUGAAAUUCCAAACUCUUAAAUUGUGUGUAAACUACAAAGGAAAAGAGGGAAGGGGAAGAAAUGGAUAGAAGAAACAUUUAAAUGAAGGAAUACGGUGGGGACACAAGCAAAAUGCGAAUACCAAUAAUAAUAGACUAUUAUUUAUAAUACACCGAAGCAAGUUUCAAGUCUCCCUACAGAAUAAGGUUUCGUAUACAUACCUAAAUACCACAAUCAACAUUUGAAAGAUCCUAAGGCAGGCCCAUGGCUACAUCCCCAAGACAAAAAUCUUCCUAUCAAAGAUGUUGAAAAACAACGAUUUUUUUUCUCACCUAAAAAUAAUAACAUUUGCAUUAUUUUUGUUGCAAUUUGGAAUGAGCAAUAUUUAUUGCUGUAAUUACAUAUUUUUAAAUUUU